rnacentral:sRNA from 1 species
UGGAGAGGAAACAUAGAGUGCAUACGUCGACAAAAAACAUUUUUUUAACACAAUGUUUGUAUUGACAUUUUACAUGUUUAACUUGAAUAUUUAGUUUGUCGACGUCUGCACUCUAUGUUUCCUGGU